rnacentral:pre_miRNA from 1 species
UAACUACUCCCUCCGUCCCAAAAUUCUUGUCUUAAAUUUGUCUAAAUAUGGAUGUAUCUAGUUACAUUUUAGUGUUAGAUACAUCCGUAUCUAGACAAAUCUAAGACAAGAAUUUUGGGACGGAGGGAGUAAUAC